GCAGGGUGGUCGAGUGGUAAAGGCGAUGGAAUAGAAAUUCAUUGGGGUAUCCCGGCACAGGUUCGAAUCCUGUAGACUGCG
rnacentral:tRNA from 2 species